rnacentral:rRNA from 1 species
UACAGAGGGGGCGAAGCGUUGUUCGGAAUUACUGGGCGUAAAGGGCGCGUAGGCGGUUCGUUAAGUCCUGUGUGAAAUCCCCCGGCUCAACUGGGGAACUGCACAGGAAACUAGCGGGCUUGAGUUCGGGAGAGGGAAGCGGAAUUCCGGGUGUAGCGGUGGAAAUGCGUAGAGAGUCCGGAAAGAACACCGGUGGCGAAGGCGGCCUGCUGGG